rnacentral:rRNA from 1 species
CACGUAGGGGCCGAGCGUUGUCCGGAGUUACUGGGCGUAAAGCGCGCGCAGGCGGUUUCGCGCAUCCGUGGUGAAAGCCCCAGCGCUCAACGCGGGAGAGUCCAAGGAGAUGGCGAGACGUGGAGGCAGGGCGAGGCCGGUGGAAUUCCGGGUGUAGUGGUGAAAUGCGUAGAGAUCCGGAGGAACACCAGUGGCGUAGGCGGCCGGCUGGACCUGUCCUGACGCUGAGGCGCGAAGG